CCUACGGGGAGCUGCAGUGGGGAAUAUUGGACAAUGGGCGAAAGCCUGAUCCAGCCAUGCUGCGUGUGUGAAGAAGGCCUUCGGGUUGUAAAGCACUUUCAGUGGGGAAGAAAGCCUUGGGGCUAAUACCCUCGAGGAAGGACAUCACCCACAGAAGAAGCACCGGCUAACUCCGUGCCAGCAGCCGCGGUAAUACGGAGGGUGCGAGCGUUAAUCGGAAUUACUGGGCGUAAAGCGCGCGUAGGCGGUCUGAUAAGCCGGUUGUGAAAGCCCCGGGCUCAACCUGGGAACGGCAUCCGGAACUGUCAGGCUAGAGUGCAGGAGAGGAAGGUAGAAUUCCCGGUGUAGCGGUGAAAUGCGUAGAGAUCGGGAGGAAUACCAGUGGCGAAGGCGGCCUUCUGGACUGACACUGACGCUGAGGUGCGAAAGCGUGGGUAGCAAACAGGAUUAGAUACCCUAGUAGUC
rnacentral:rRNA from 1 species